UGACUGGGGCAGAAGGAGAACCCAAGAAAAGCUGACUUGGAGGCCCCUCCUUCUGUUCCCACAG
rnacentral:miRNA from 1 species